UGGCGUUUAGCUCAGCGGUAGAGCACCCGGCUGUUAACCGGGCGGUCCCAGGUUCGAAUCCUGGAAUGCCAGCCA
rnacentral:tRNA from 1 species